rnacentral:rRNA from 1 species
AGUGAACGCUGGCGGCGUGCUUAACACAUGCAAGUCGAACGAUGAAGCUCUAGCUUGCUAGAGUGGAUUAGUGGCGCACGGGUGAGUAAUGUAUAGCUAAUGUGCCCCUUAGAGGGGGAUAACAGUUGGAAACGACUGCUAAUACCCCAUACUCCUUCUUCCUAUAAGGGAAGUUGGGAAAGUUUUUUCGCUAAGGGAUCGGGCUAUAUGGUAUCAGCUUGUUGGUGAGGUAAUGGCUCACCAAGGCUAUGACGCCUAUCUGGUCUGAGAGGAUGAUCAGACACACUGGAACUGAGACACGGUCCAGACUCCUACGGGAGGCAGCAGUGGGGAAUAUUACACAAUGGAGGAAACUCUGAUGUAGCAACGCCGCGUGGAGGAUGACACAUUUCGGUGCGUAAACUCCUUUUAUAUGGGAAGAUAAUGACGGUACCAUAUGAAUAAGCACGGGCUAACUCCGUGCCAGCAGCCGCGGUAAUACGGAGGGUGCAAGCGUUACUCGGAAUCACUGGGCGUAAAGCGCGCGCAGGCGGUCUUUAAGUUGGAUGUGAAAUCUAUGGCUCAACCAU